AUGGGGGAAAAUGGACUCAGUUUGUGCAGAUAUUUGGGUCCUGAGGUUCAUCUUCCUCUUCUUCAUCUUCCCCUUCUUCCGCGUGCUGGCCCACGGCACGCGCAUCAAGAUCUGCACCUGAUGGUCGGGGGCAAAAAUGGGGGGAAUGGACUCAGUUUGUGCAGGUGUUUGGGUCCUGAGGUUCUUCUUCAUCCUCCUCCUCUUCCUCUUUGGCCCGCGCAUCAAGAUCUGCACCUGAUGGUCGGGGUGGAAAAUGGGGGGGAAAUGGACUCAGUUUGUGCAGGUGUUUGGGUCCUGAGGUUCUUCUACUUUCUCUUCAUCUUCCCCUUCUUCCGCGUGCUGGCCCACGGCACCGCAUCAAAAUCUGCACCUGAUGGUCGGGGUGGAAAAUGGGGGAAAUGGACUCAGUUUGUGCAGGUGUUUGGGUCCUGAGGUUCAUCUUCCUCUUCUUCAUCUUCCCCUUCUUCCGCGUGCUGGCCUGCGGCACCGCAUCAAGAUCUGCACCUGAUGGUCGGGGGCAAAAAUGGGGGGAAUGGACUCAGUUUGUGCAGGUGUUUGGGUCCUGAGGUUCAUCUUCCUUGUCUUCAUCCUCCUCCUCUUCCUCUUCGG
ensembl:lncRNA